CAGUUGCAUUUUUAUUGAACUAACUGUUAAAAUUAUAAUAUAUAAAACUCUAUCAAAGAUACAAACUUUUUGCAUUUGAAAAUUAUUACAGACUUAAGACUUUGAUAAACAUUAAACAUUUUUGGUGGUCAAGACUAAGAACCUCCACAUGGUGAGUCAUUGGUGACCACUUGGGCAACAGCAUGUUGUGUGAACACGGCGCGGAUUAGCAUACCAGGACCCCUAUAUUGUUUAACUGGACAACAUUUUAUUUUACAUAUUAUUUGUACAAUGUCAUAUGUUGGUCUGUUAAAGUGUUAAUCUACCCCUGUGUGAUUGCAAACUUUUGCACAACCUUUUGGCUAAUCUCAGCACUUUACACAAAAUAUGGCUUUGUCAAAUCAUAUCUAUGGGACCCUAAAAUAGUUUAUUGCCCUGGCCUACCCCAAGUCUUUGGGUGGCCCAAUCAAUUAGUUAACCCCCACCAAUACUACAGUCCCAAUAGACAUGGUUUUUACAUUGUUUCAAUGCUCAUGGUAUUCAAACAGGCCUAGUUGAAAUAAUGAUGUAUUUAUUCCCCAUAUCACAAGCCCCCAUGAGAAUUGCAUGAAAUAUUAUUGCUGAGAUUAGCCAGCAUGUCGUGAAACAAACAGGGGUAGAUUUUUUACUUUGCAGCUGCAAAGGGCUCUCUUUUUGACAAAGUACAAUUAAAGUAGCCUACUAAUCCACCCCUAAUUUACACAACAUGCUGUUGCCCAGUGGUCACCAUGAGGAGGUUCUCAGACUUGACCACCAAAUUUUCAAAUGUUGAAAGAAUGUGUUUCUGUCUCUUGGUGAAAACAUAAUGUCGUAAAAUACUUUACUUCAAUCAAAAGGUAUAUAGUAUGAAGGCAAAGGUUUACUAGUGCAGAGCAAACUUUAAUCAUUAUGUCAAUGAGAGGAACAGACUCUCCUUUUCUGCAAAUAAGGUAAUCAGUUCAUUCAGUCGGCAAAGUUUGUUGAAGAAUGGUAUAUUUCGGUCUCAGUAAACCAAUAAUUCUUUCGACAUGUAUCCGGACAGUAGCAAUCUUUCUUGUCUGUUCCACAUCAACAGAAUCAAGUUGGUCUUUUCCUUUUGUGAAUGCUGGAAUGUUCAAUUUGGCUUGGUGAAACUGAACACUUUCAUGAACAGUGAAACGCCUAUCCGCCAGAUCCAAAUCACCUGGUAUAAGGUUGUCCAGUAAGCCACAGUUCUCAGUCAGAAACGUAUCUGAAUUCCUCCCUCCCCAAGCUUCACUGACAAAGCAAAAUGUACCUUGUGUUGUAAUUCUAAUUAACACUUUAACAGUGUUAUGAUGCUUGUAGCUUGAAAACGUCUGUGCCCUUGCAAGGAGAUUAGUUUGUCUAUCAAUAAAAGUCAGCAGAACAUAUGGUUUACCCAGAAAUUAGAACUCGGAUUGAAGCAUAGAAUUAUGACACUCUCUUGUCUGAAUGCCAACUGUUGUGGAUUUGUGGUUGAAACGUCUGUUUGUGUUAUGGGUUUAUGGCCGGCGUUUCUCAAGUUUUCUGGAAAAUUGUCUGCGAUUUGCCGAUAUCGUC
rnacentral:lncRNA from 1 species